CCUCCAGCGCUGCCCCCUCCUCCCGAGCCCGAGGCCGCGGAGUAGCGGGAAGAGGAACUAAGUGACCCGCAAGGAUGCCCAGAAAGCUUGCGCGCGGAGGGGGUGGGGAGGUGGGCUCCAACGCGCAGCGGAAGGAAAGGGAGAGGAAGAGCGCUAGAGAGGGACGCGACUUUUGGGAUUCGGCGGUGCCCUGGCUCGGGGAGAAGCGGCGGCGAGCCAGGGCUGAGGAGGCGACGUCCCCCCUCGGCCACGCCUCGGACUGCGGGCAAAAGGCUGCGGCCCGCCCCGUCGGAAGGCGCGGACUGCGGGUCCCCGGUACUGCCGGGAUGGCUGGUGCUCCCGGGGUGGGCGGUGCACACAGAUCUGCCGGUGUACCCUGGAGCCGACGGUGCACCCGAGGUCGGUGGGUGCUGCCAGCGGCUGGAGGGUGUUCCCUGAUCAUACGAUGCUCCCGCAGCCGGCGGGCGCUACCGGGGCUAGCGACUGCUCCCCGGGUCGACCAGUGAUCCUGGGGUCAGCGGCCGC
rnacentral:lncRNA from 1 species